GCCGCCCGCUUUCUUCUUUCCUAAUACAUGCAAGUAGAACGCUGAAGAGAGGAGCUUGCUCUUCUUGGAUGAGUUGCGAACGGGUGAGUAACGCGUAGGUAACCUGCCUUGUAGCGGGGGAUAACUAUUGGAAACGAUAGCUAAUACCGCAUAACAAUGGAUGACACAUGUCAUUUAUUUGAAAGGGGCAAUUGCUCCACUACAAGAUGGACCUGCGUUGUAUUAGCUAGUAGGUGAGGUAAUGGCUCACCAAGGCGACGAUACAUAGCCGACCUGAGAGGGUGAUCGGCCACACUGGGACUGAGACACGGCCCAGACUCCUACGGGAGGCAGCAGUAGGGAAUCUUCGGCAAUGGGGCAACCCUGACCGAGCAACGCCGCGUGAGUGAAGAAGGUUUUCGGAUCGUAAAGCUCUGUUGUAAGUCAAGAACGGGUGUGAGAGUGGAAAGUUCACACUGUGACGGUAGCUUACCAGAAAGGGACGGCUAACUACGUG
rnacentral:rRNA from 1 species